rnacentral:rRNA from 1 species
AUGCGUUGGCCAUGGUACGAAUGGGACAACAUUGAUAGGCCGUGGAAGGGCACACCCACGCUGUGUGAUGCCUCUGAUCGUCAACUUUUUGCUGCCUGCACUGCAAUCAAAAUUGGUAAUGGAAGAAAAGCGAGUAUCUGGACUGACAGGUGGUUACAUGGGAUGGCACCAAUGGACAUUGCACCUGAUCUGUACAAGCUAUCCAGAAUGAAAAUAAUCUGUGUCCGGGAUGGAUUAAACAGCAAUCAAUGGAUGACUGGCUUGCACAGGAUCAAUUCUGCCGAAUCUCUGGACUCGUUGCUAAACAUCUUGACGGCCCUGCAGCAGAUUACCCUCUCUGACCAAGACGAUGAAAUCAAAUGGAUCCACUCUUCAGAUGGAUGCUACAGUGCGAGAUCGGCAUAUAAUAUACAGUUCGUUACCAGAAUUGACAUGCCUACGCUUGCAAAGGUGUGGAACAUCAAAGCUGAGCCGAAGAUAAGAUUUUUCAUCUGGACCCUACUUCAAAACAGACUAUGGACAGCCGACCGCCUUGCCGCUCGAGGAUGGCCUCACAAUCCUUGCUGCAGCAUGUGUGACCAGAUGCCAGAGACUGCCAUCAUAUACUGCUGGACUGCCCUUUUGCCAAGGAGGCCUGGCACUCCUUUGCAUCUGCCCAGCCGGAGGCCUCUGCCGCUGCCUUAUCUUCCACCUCCAUCAAAUCUUGGCGGGCUGCCACGACCAGGUGCAAGAUCAUGCAUGAGAACAUCCAUGCCGCGACGGCGGCGGCGUACAUAG